AUGAACGCUGGCGGCGUGYUUAACACAUGCAAGUCGAACGGGAAACAUUUUAUUGAAGCUUCGGCAGAUCUAGCUUGUUUCUAGUGGCGGACGGGUGAGUAACGCGUGGGUAACCUGCCUCGCACUGGGGGAUAACAGUCAGAAAUGGCUGCUAAUACCGCAUAAGCGCACAGCAUCGCAUGAUGCAGUGUGAAAAACUCCGGUGGUGUGAGAUGGACCCGCGUUGGAUUAGCUAGUUGGCAGGGCAGCGGCCUACCAAGGCGACGAUCCAUAGCCGGCCUGAGAGGGUGAACGGCCACAUUGGGACUGAGACACGGCCCAGACUCCUACGGGAGGCAGCAGUGGGGAAUAUUGCACAAUGGGGGAAACCCUGAUGCAGCGACGCCGCGUGAAGGAAGAAGUAUCUCGGUAUGUAAACU
rnacentral:rRNA from 1 species